GGAAUACCUCGUCACUUAAUUAGUGACUUGCAUGAAAGGUGUAACGACUAUUCCACUGUCUCAACAACGUGCUCGGUGAAAUUGAAAUGGCUGUGAAGAUGCGGCCUACCUAUACCAGGACAAAAAGACCCCGUGGAGCUUUACUUCAGCUUUGCAUUGAGAUAGGGUUUUAGAUGUAUAGAAUAUGUGGGAGACUUUGAAAUCAUUUCGUCAGGAAUGGUGGAGUCGACAGUGUAAUACCACUCUUUUGGAAUUUUAUUUCUAACAAGGACCAUUAUCUGGUUUUUAGACAGUGCAUGGUGGGAAGUUUGACUGGGGCGGUUGCUUGCUAAAGAGUACCGCAAGCGCACUAAGGUCUCCUCAAUCCGGAUGGAAAUCGGAUGAAGAGUGCAUAAGCAUAAGGAGGCUUUACUGUGAGGAGGACACUCCGAUCAGUUACGAAAGUAGGUUUAAGUGACCCUUUGGAAUGCGUGUGGAAGCGCCAUUGUUUAACGGAGAUAAGCUACCCCGGGGAUAACAGGCUAGUCUUGCCCGAUAGUUCAUAUUGACGGCAAGGUUCGGCACCUCGAUGUCGGCUCGUCGCAUACUGGGGUUGGAUAAGACCCCAAGGGUUGGACUGUUCGUCCAUUAAAGCGGCACGCGAGCUGGGUUCAAACCGGCGUAAGCCAGGUUGGUCUCUAUCCGGUAUAGGCGUUGUAUAUUUGAGGAAAUCGUCCCCUAGUACGAAAGGAUCGGGGAGUGGUAACCUCUGGUCUACCAGCUGUUCUACCAAGAGCAUAGCUGGGUAGCUAAGUUAUUAUUGGAUAAGCACUGAAAGCAUAUAAGUGCGAAGCCUGCACUAAGAUUAAAUAUACUUGUUUGACUUGAUCAAACGGGAGGUCCGUGGGAGACUACCACGUUGAUAGGCUCUAGGUAUAAGCAUAGAGAUAUGUUGAGCCAAGGAGUACUAAUUGACCAAAAGCUUUUUUGAU
rnacentral:rRNA from 1 species